GGACCCGCACAAGUAGUGGAGCAUGUGGUUUAAUUCGAAGAUACGCGCAGAACCUUACCAACACUUGACAUGUUCGUCGCGACUCUAAGAGAUUAGAGUUUUCGGUUCGGCCGGACGAAACACAGGUGCUGCAUGGCUGUCGUCAGCUCGUGUCGUGAGAUGUUGGGUUAAGUCCCGCAACGAGCGCAACCCUCACUUUUAGUUGCCAUCAUUAAGUUGGGCACUCUGAAAGAACUGCCAGUGAUAAGCUGGAGGAAGGUGGGGAUGACGUCAAGUCCUCAUGGCCCUUACGUGUUGGGCUACACACGUGCUACAAUGGUAGUGACAUGGGCUAAUCCCAAAAACUAUCUCAGUUCGGA
rnacentral:rRNA from 1 species